GACGAGCCACACAAACGUUAUCCGGAGUUACUGGGCGUAAAGGGCGUGUAGGUGGUUUUAUAAGUCUGGCGUGAAAUUUCUCGGCUUAACCGAGGCAGGUCGUCGGAUACUAUGAGACUAGAGGACGGUAGAGGCGUGUGGAAUUCCGGGUGUAGUGGUGAAAUGCGUAGAGAUCCGGAGGAACACCAGUGGCGAAGGCGACACGCUGGGCCGUACCUGACACUGAUGCGCGACAGCAUGGGGAGCAAACAGG
rnacentral:rRNA from 1 species